GACGAACGCUGGCGGCGUGCUUAACACAUGCAAGUCGAGGGACCGGCGCACGGGUGAGUAACGCGUAUCCAACCCGCCCAUAACUAAGGGAUAACCCAGCGAAAGAUGGACUACUACCUUAUGGUUAUGGAUGGGGAUGCGUCUGGUUAGCUUGUUGGCGGGGUAACGGCCCACCAAGGCAACGCUCAGUAGCGGUUCUUAGAGGAAGGUCCCCCUCAUUGGAACAGUGGCACGGUCCAAAGUCGUACAGGAGGCAGCAGUGAGGAAUAAUGGUGAGUGGACGCAAAUCUGAACCAGCCAAUUAGCGUGCAGGAUGGCUGCCUGUGGGUUGUAAACUGCUUUUAUAUAAGGCAAGGUACCCUAAGAAUAAGAACCGGCUAAUUCCGUGCCAGCAGCCGCGGUAAUAC
rnacentral:rRNA from 1 species